rnacentral:lncRNA from 1 species
UUUUCCUUCCUUACAUAAGUGUCUCCGAAAUGGCCUCUAAUGUUUGUAUACAUGUUUUGAAACUGUGGUGAGCAUUAAUCAGCAAAAUGGGGAUGGUACAGCAAUCUCAUAAACAAUGAGUGUUAUUAAAUAAUCAUAUUUAUGCUUGGCUAGCAGGACUAUAUAUGUCUGCUUGCCUGAUGUGCUUAGGAAGUUAAUGUUUUUUUUAUGAUGACAUAGUUGCCAUAUGCUUCACAGUCACCAGCAGCAGAUAAGCUCAAGGGUUUAUUCAGAUAUCACUCAUUGAAAUGCAAGUAUUAGAAAUCUGGGCAUAAUUUUAGUUGGAAGCAAGUAAAAUAACUCAAUGGAGUUAUAACACAAUGCUAAGAAAAGCAUUCCCUUUGCUCUGAGCAAUCUGCUAGAGGUUAUUCCAUCUGCCACGAUGGGCUCUUUUGCCCAAUACCUGUCAGUUAUGUGUGAAGAUACAAUGCUGUUAUCGGUGUUACUCCCUAUAAAGCGCUAGCAGCACUCAAAAGCUUUUAACUAGGAAUUGGGAGUGACAGAAGUCAGAAGCACGACUGCAUACUUCUCAGACAAAUGAGAAAUUAGUCACACAAUAUGCAUCUUAGUCGAUGCAAAAGGCAAUAGAAAUAUGCCUGGCUUUAAGACUAUAAGGAGGCAGUUUUGUGAAGUAAUCUGAAUUCCCUCAUUUUCUCUUUCAUCUAGGGCUGUAAGUUAAUUCUACAACACAGCAGCAAAUCCUACUGCUGAGCAGGUAAGCUCAGUUCUUCCCAAACUUUUUAGGUGGCAGAAGCUCACAAGUGAUGCUGAUCUGACAUCCUGGAGACUUGCCCACAGCACUCCUCUGGCAGCAGCAUAAGCUUCUGGGGACUCUGCCACCAGCUUUUACAGCCUCCACCUGGACGGACUAACUGCAUGUAAAGUGUUUCCAGAGGGCAUAACAAUACUUGGAAGUAUAGAUCUGUAUGCUGUGGAAGAAGGAGCUGUCAGAUUUCAUCGAGAGAGAUGCAGACGACUGAUGUUUGCCAAGAAGAUGUCCAUCACUGCCUUUGACCUGAUGCAACCUAC